GGUACUGCUUGUGUGUGUCAGUGAGCUUCUAUUUAGUGAGCAUGUGUGUGUCAGUGAGCUUGUCUUUAGUGAGCUUGUGUGUGUGUCUCUGAACUUCUUUGUAGUGAGCCUUCUGUUUAUACAAGUGAGUGUCUGUAGUAAGCUUGUGUGUGAGUCAGAGAGUUUUGUCUGUCAGUAAGCCUAUUUGCGCAUGUCAGUGAGCUUGUGUGCU